UACGUAGGGCGCGAGCGUUGUCCGGAAUUAUUGGGCGUAAAGAGCUCGUAGGCGGCUUGUUGCGUCUGCUGUGAAAUCCCGGGGCGUUAACCCCGGGCGUGCAGUGGAUACGGGCAGGCUGGAGGCAGGCGAGGGGAGAAUGGAAUUCCCGGUGUAGCGGUGAAAUGCGCAGAUAUCGGGAGGAACACCGGUGGCGAAGGCGGUUCUCUGGGCCUGUUCUGACGCUGAGGCGCGAAAGCUAGGGGAGCAAACGGGG
rnacentral:rRNA from 1 species